rnacentral:rRNA from 1 species
UACGUAGGGUGCGAGCGUUAAUCGGAAUUACUGGGCGUAAAGCGUGCGCAGGCGGUUCGUUGUGUCGGCGGUGAAAGCCCCGGGCUUAACCUGGGAAGUGGCCGUUGAAACUGGCGAACUGGAGUGUGGCAGAGGGGGUGGAAUUCCGCGUGUAGCAGUGAAAUGCGUAGAGAUGCGGAGGAACACCGAUGGCGAAGGCAAUCCCCUGGGCCUGCACUGACGCUCAUGCACGAAAGCGUGGGGAGCAAACAGG